UGGGGAAUUUUGCGCAAUGGGGGAAACCCUGACGCAGCAACGCCGCGUGAGUGAUGAAGGCCUUCGGGUCGUAAAGCUCUGUCAGAGGGGAAGAAGUGUGAGGUGGCUAAUAUCCAUUUCACUUGACGGUACCUUCAAAGGAAGCACCGGCUAACUCCGUGCCAGCAGCCGCGGUAAUACGGAGGGUGCAAGCGUUAAUCGGAAUCACUGGGCGUAAAGCGCGCGUAGGCGGCCUUUUAAGUCGGACGUGAAAGCCCUCGGCUCAACCGGGGAAUUGCGUUCGAUACUGGGAGGCUUGAGUCCUGGAGAGGGUGGCGGAAUUCCGGGUGUAGGAGUGAAAUCCGUAGAUAUCCGGAGGAACACCGGUGGCGAAGCGGCCACCUGGACAGGUACUGACGCUGA
rnacentral:rRNA from 1 species